GAUGAACGCUGGCGGCGUGCCUAAUACAUGCAAGUCGAGCGAACAGACGAGGAGCUUGCUCCUCUGACGUUAGCGGCGGACGGGUGAGUAACACGUGGAUAACCUACCUAUAAGACUGGGAUAACUUCGGGAAACCGGAGCUAAUACCGGAUAAUAUAUUGAACCGCAUGGUUCAAUAGUGAAAGACGGCUUUGCUGUCACUUAUAGAUGGAUCCGCGCCGCAUUAGCUAGUUGGUAAGGUAACGGCUUACCAAGGCGACGAUGCGUAGCCGACCUGAGAGGGUGAUCGGCCACACUGGAACUGAGACACGGUCCAGACUCCUACGGGAGGCAGCAGUAGGGAAUCUUCCGCAAUGGGCGAAAGCCUGACGGAGCAACGCCGCGUGAGUGAUGAAGGUCUUCGGAUCGUAAAACUCUGUUAUUAGGGAAGAACAAAUGUGUAAGUAACUAUGCACGUCUUGACGGUACCUAAUCAGAAAGCCACGGCUAACUACGUG
rnacentral:rRNA from 1 species